rnacentral:rRNA from 1 species
CUGGCGGCGUGCCUAACACAUGCAAGUCGAACGAAGCACUGCGGAUGGAGAUUCGUCAAAAUCUGCUUUGACUUAGUGGCGGACGGGUGAGUAAUGUGUGAGCAACCUGCCUUUCAGAGGGGGACAACAGUUGGAAACGACUGCUAAUACCGCAUAAUGUAUUGGAAGGGCAUCCUUUUUGAUACCAAAGGGGCAAUCCGCUGAAAGAUGGGCUCACAUCUGAUUAGCUAGUUGGUGGGGUAACGGCCUACCAAGGCUGCGAUCAGUAGCCGGACUGAGAGGUUGAACGGCCACAUUGGGACUGAGAUACGGCCCAGACUCCUACGGGAGGCAGCAGUGGGGAAUAUUGGGCAAUGGGCGAAAGCCUCGACCCAGCAACGCCGCGUGAAGGAAGAAGGUCUUCGGAUUGUAAACUUCUUUUAUGAGGGACGAAGGACGUGACGGUACCUCAUGAAUAAGCCACGGCUAACUACGUGCCAGCAGCAGC